GACGAACGCUGGCGGCGUGCCUAAUACAUGCAAGUCGAACGCAGUGGGGACGGGUGAGUAACACGUGGGUAACCUCCCAUCAGAGGGGAUAACACUUGGAAACAGGUGCUAAACCUAUACUGAUGGAUGGACCCGAGGUGCAUAAGCUAGCUGGUGAGGUAACGGCUCACCAAGGCCACGAUGCAUAGCCGAUCAGAGAGGGUGAUGCGCCACACAGGGACUGAGACACGGCCCAGACUCCUACGGGAGGCAGCAGUAGGGAAUCUUUGGCAAUGGACGAAAGUCUGACCGAGAAACGCCGCGUGAGUGAAGAAGGUGUUCGGAUCGUAAAACUCUGUUGGCAGAGAAGCGGGAUCUAACCAGAAAGCCACGGCUAACUACGUGCCAGCAGCCGCGGUAAUUC
rnacentral:rRNA from 1 species